GCCCCCGUAGCUCAGAGGAUAGAGCAGAGGUUUCCUAAACCUUGUGUCGGAGGUUCGAAUCCUCUCGGGGGCACCA
rnacentral:tRNA from 1 species